rnacentral:rRNA from 1 species
UACGGAGGGAGCUAGCGUUGUUCGGAAUUACUGGGCGUAAAGCGCACGUAGGCGGAUAUUUAAGUCAGGGGUGAAAUCCCGGGGCUCAACCCCGGAACUGCCUUUGAUACUGGGUAUCUGGAGGUCGAGAGAGGCGAGUGGAAUUCCGAGUGUAGAGGUGAAAUUCGUAGAUAUUCGGAGGAACACCAGUGGCGAAGGCGGCUCGCUGGCUCGAUACUGACGCUGGGGUGCGAAAGCGUGGGGAGCAAACAGG